CAUCUAGGGGGACGCAUUCAUUGCAAAGGAAACUCUAAAAAAGAAAGAAAAACGUGUGGCUGCUUAAUUUCUUGAUAAGGUGGAGCCGCAUGAGGGCAUGAGUUCAGUAUAUAAGUGGAUGCAAGCUUCAUCCCUUGACCAUUAGGCCUCUUUGGGUUACUGAAUACUAAGAGCAGCUCCAAAUUGCAAUGGCGAAUUCAGCAGUAGUGUGGUUAGCAUCCGUAUGGCUUGUGUCCAAUAUCUUGUCCCUUCCAUUCCUGGCAUUGGGCAUAUCUUCUUGUGGUGGCUCAUGUCAAACACUUGAUGACUGUGACGGUCAGCUCAUAUGCAUCAACGGUAAAUGUAAAGACGACCCCGAAGUCGGGACUCACAUAUGCGGGGGAAGUUCAAGUACCCCUUCCCCUCCGGUCUCCUCCUCCACGCCUGCCAUUCUAACUAACAACAAUUUUGAAAAAUGAGGGGACGGUGGAGGCCCAUCGGAGUGCGACGGCAAAUACCAUGACAAUUCAGAGCGCAUCGUAGCAUUGCCAACUCGGUGGUAUGAUGGGGGAUCCCGGUGUGGGAAGAUGAUUAGGAUAACGGCUCCAAGUGGGAGGAGCGUGUUGGCCAAAGUGGUGGAUGAGUGUGAUUCAGCGGACGGCUGUGCGAAUAACAUAGUUGAUGGAUCUGAUGGUGUGUGGGCUGCUCUGGGGCUGGAUAUCAAUCUUGGUGAAGUGCACGUUACUUGGUCCAUGGCUUAGAUAUCCGUAUGGUUAAUGAGUUGGGUUGGUUUUUUGUGUUCCCCUCUACUUUGGUUAUGAUGUAAUUUUGCAGCAAUAUGCACUGAAAUAAAAUAGCUGGAAGGCGCUAGCCCAGUGCCACCAGAACCCCAUUGACUGGUUUGAUUAAUAAAGAGUGAUUAUCGGCAGAAUGAACUACUUCAAGUCUUCAACCAUCACAUCGAUUAAUUAAUAAAGAAUCCCAUCAACUGUUGUUAUCCUCCUUAUACACAUUGAUUAAUUAGGCUUUAUAAACACCUACGAAACUUAAAGAUUGUUUUCCCUGAUGAUCAGUACUUCACAGUUACUUUGUUCACCACAACAUACAUCGUCUGAACAUUGGGCAGCAGCCGAUUAUUGUCUCUGUACCAUUAAUUAUCGAUCCUAAUCAACUCAUUUUUAUCCAAUCGUACUGGGCAGUACUUACAAGACAAGUCUUUAUUAUUAUUUUUUCAACAUUACAGCUAUCAAGAAAUCAUUUAAGCUUAUUAUUUUAAUUUGUUGAACAAGUUAACUUCAUUGCAUAGUUAUUAAACCACCUAUUAAUAAAUAAUUUUUAUUUUUAAUAAAUUAAUAUAUAAAAUUAAAUAAACCCAAUCCAGUUAUUAAAAUAUCGUUGAGCUAAAAAAAUGAGCUUAUUUCUCAAAUAAGCUGGAGGGGCUCGAACCCUCACAAAAUAUUUAAGGAGUGUCCAAUAUACCACUAAAUUAAUUAUAAUUAUUUUAUAAUUAAAUAAAAAAAUUUCAUUUAGUAGAUUAAAAAAAAUAUAAAAAUUAUCAAGAUAAUUUUCUUUAUAGUGUUUUUAAUAUUAAAAAAUUAUACAUUUAUCAUCAUUUACUUUAUAUCAUUUAAUACAGUUGAAUUAAAUGUAUCAUAAUUUUAAUAUUAAAUAUAUUUAAAAAUUAGACAUAUUACAAUCAAAUAUCACAAUAUUAUUAUCGAAUAAUAUUUUAUGUAAUUUAAUAAUCAAUGUACACUUUUAUUUAUGUAAUUUAAUAAUCAAUGUACACUUUUAUAUAUAUAUAUAUAUAUAUAUAUAUAUCAAUUUCUUCAACAAAACAAUUUUAAAAAGUCUAUUAUACUUCUAAUUUCAGUUUUAAGAGUUUUUUUUUAUAUAUUUUCAUAAAUUUUGAUCAAAUUUAAAUUAAUCGAUAUUUUUUAUCAAAAUAUCUGUCUAUAUAUCCAUAAAAUCAAAAUAUCGAUAUAUUCGUGAUUACUGAUAAUUUUAUCCUUGACCCAAUCAUUAGUAAAAAUAAAUAUUACACCCAAUAAAUUAUUUAUAUAUAAUAUUAUAAUCUAAACUAAAUUAUGUAUAAAUAAAUUUGUUCAAAGAAAGUACAUGUCAAACAAAUUUUCAUUUAAUUCCUAGUAAUUUGUUUUAAACAUAUUAAAGUAGUUGAAAUACAAAUGUUCAAUCAAAGUUUUAUUUAAUUUUUAAUCUAUCAAAUGAGAAUAUCAUCAAACUUCCUAUAAGAAAACAUUGCUUUCCACAUAAAAGAAUCAACUCCAAAUUAAAUUUGCACUAUCACCAAUAUCUGCUUCAAAAAUUACACAAAAACCUAAAGUUUAGUAGUACAAAUUAAGUUUUCAAUAUCAUAUACUAUUUUUGAAGAAUUCUCUUGUCACUAUAAACAAAUACUUGUCUUUAUGAUAAAAUUAAUUUGAGUAAGGAUCUAAGGUAUAACUUACUUGCCCUAAGAAAAUUUUAACUUCAACCAUUUCAAAUAUAAGAUCGCGUUAUACCUCAAAUAAUAGAGUAUAAUAGUAUUAAGAAUUCAAUAAACUACUACUACUUCUUCUUCUUCUUCUUCUUUAUUUUAAGCAAAAUAAUAUAUAUUUCAUCAUAAACCAUACUAUUUUAACUUCAACCAUUUCAAAUAUAAGAUAGAGUUAUACCUUAAAUAAUAGAGUAUAAUAGUAUUAAGAAUUCAAUAAACUACUACUUCUUCUUCUUUAUUUUAAGCAAAAUAAUAUAUAUUUCAUCAUAAACCAUACUAUUUUAACUUCAACCAUUUCAAAUAUAAGAUAGAGUUAUACCUUAAAUAAUAGAGUAUAAUAGUAUUAAGAAUUCAAUAAACUACUACUUCUUCUUCUUUAUUUUAAGCAAAAUAAUAUAUAUUUCAUCAUAAGCCAUACUAUUUUAACUUCAACCAUUUCAAAUAUAAGAUAGAGUUAUACCUCAAAUAAUAAAGUAUAAUAGUAUUAAGAAUUCAAUAGACUACUUCUUCUUCUUCUUCUUCUUCUUCUUCUUCUUCUUCUUCUUCUUCUUUAUUUAAGCAAAAUCAUAUAUUAUUCAUCAUAAACCAUACUAUUUAUCAUUAUCCUAAUAAUACUAAACUCAAGGUUACGUAUAAUAAAAUGAAAUAUCUAAAAGUAUUUUUUUGAAUUCUAUAUAUGUUAAAAACUAGUAUUAAAUUAAGAAAAAUAAAAUAAAGAAAAAGAGUAUUAAUGCAUGUUUACAGCUAAAUAAUGCAAAGAUUGAGUGUCAUUUUGAUAAAAAGGCCACGAAGUACGUGAUACAUAGGAUUUGGUUAUCUCAAUGUAUUAAAACCAAUGCUAAAACCUGCUUGAAGAAAAAAAACUAGAAUACUCAUACCCUAAUUAAGUACCACAAUAAAUUAAUAUCAUAAAACAUUAUAAUAAAUUUACCUUUGAUUAGAAUUUGUAUUCAUCUCAAGUAACCAAACAAAUUACCUCUAAAUUAUUUUAAAAUUUUGCAUAGUUUAGUUCACAUCAUUGAAAAUAAAAAGGUUUUUCAAAUGUCAUGAUCACUAUAUAUUUUCUAUCAAUGCAUAAUUUCAAUAAUUAUGUAAUCUUGCUUUUACAUUGAUACAUGGAAGCCACUCGCUUCUUAUUUCACAACUCGUCAUUUGAACACUUAACCAAUAAAUGUUUUUUUUUUUUCCGUUUUUUCUUAAUUUUAAAUUUUUUAUUUAUCUUUUCAUUUAAAUAUAGAAAGAUCUUUAUUACAAAUGUAUUUAAAAUAAAAAAUAUUUAGAGCUAUUAAAAAUCUAUUUAAAUUGAAUUUAUUUAUAUCUAAAAGAUUUUUAUUCUUUUUAAGUUUUUAAAAUGUACUAUAAACUAGUGUAUCUGUUAGCCAACGAUUCUCCAGAUCGUGUUUUGAUGAUAAAAAAGCAUAGUUAAGUUGUUAAUUUUUUUUGAAUUAUAAAGAAUUUCAAGUGUUAGUUUGAAAAUCCAUUAAAGAACCCAAUGGAUGUAAGAUAAAGACAAUUGGAAAAUUUUACUCAUAGAAAACAUAUAUAAGAUGAAUGCAUGGAUGCAUUUAGGUUUUUCAUAUCUUUUCAUGCAUCUUUAAAAACUCAGUUUAUGCUUUAAAGUUACAUUUACAUCAAAACUUAAGUUUUAUUAAAUGAACUUUAGGCAAAUCAUUUCAAAAUUGGCAUAAUAAUUUACCUAAAAACCUUACCUAAGUGUUAGAAGAAAAAAAAACAUAAAAAAAAAAAGUUUUUGGGCCAAAAAUUGUAAACCAGUCGAGGCACUGGCCAACUAGCUCAAUUGACUAGGGUGCCGAUCAACCGAUUACACCUUCUCGAUCGAGGUCCGAUUGAGAGAUGCAAAAAAUCUUCUCUCUCUUCCAAUAGCCUUGCAUUCUUGAUCGAGGAAUAUGUCUUCCCGAUCGAGGCCUAACGGUCACCUAACAAGCAUUUAUUGCCCAAUAGUUAGUUAACCAGUCGACCUCCAGCUCGACCAAUCAAGGUUAUUUUUUUUUUUGGUCUUUUUGGCUCUCAAGGCUAUAAACUUAUAAAUUGAGAACUCGACUUCAUUUAUGAGUAAGAGAACACCUACAUUUAUUUGUCUACCUACUUGUUCUUGCCUCAAAAACUUUAAUUCUUUCAUUAGUUCAUUAAAUUUUCAUUUGCAUAUUCCUUAAUGCACCCUUAUGAUUCAUCCUAGCAUUUGAGUUGUAUUUAAGCCCUUGUUGAGCUAGGUUGAAAGAUUUGAUUUUGUUAUUCGAUUGUUAGAACCUUUAAGUGAGUAAAGACUUGAAAAUAUUGUAUAAGAGCUCAUUUGAGCUAAAAUCCAAGUGUAAAUGUGUCAGAAGCUUGGUUGAAACUUCAAAUAUAGUAGAACCCUCACUCGGUUAGGAGCUUGAGAAGAGUGGACGUAGGCAAGGGGUGUCGAAUCACUAUAAAAUCUGAAUUUGCUUCUUCGAACCUUAUCUCUUAUGUAUGUGCUUCCUUUACUUGAAUUUGUUGUGGUUGAAAACAAAAAUUAAAACCCAAUUCACCCACCCCUCUCUCUAUCUCUCUCUCUCUCUCUUUACCUCUUGGGUGUUUUCUCUAUUAAGAUUAGUCUUUAUUUUCUCAGUAUCUAAGAACAUAAAUAUGUGUUUUCACUCUUAAUAGCCCAAAAUAGAUUCUUUUUAAUCCAAUUAAUUCAUUUGAGAAUAUAUGGAAGAAUAAAAACCAAUCAAGACACAAGACAAAAGAUUAUUUACAUGGAUUUCCAUACAACAUGUGGAAAUAAAAAAACUAAAAAAAAUACCAUAGAGUCAAAGACCUCAAAUUUAUAAUCCACUUAUGAGAGUACAACAAAGUUUUACCUAACAGACAUUAUCCCUAAGACUUACUCUUCAAUACUCAUACUGCAUUUUACAUCCGCGAUACAACACCUUGUGUGCUCCCAAUGGAUCUCACCUUAGUAUUUGAAGGGAUGUAGAUCUCUUUCACAAUCUAACAAAAGCAAACAUGAACACUUCUUUGAGAGUUUUGGAAAGAAUAAGACAAAUUAGAUUUUCUAAUUCAGAAGCACUAAGCCAAAAACCUUUUUAAGCAAGGCAUAUGUAGGCCUAGAGACCUAGUGGAUCGAUACUUAGAAAAUCCUUGAUUUAAAUCCAUUAAAAAAUGGAAAGAGUGAACUCCAAAAUUUUGGAGGAUUCUAUCUCAUGUGCUUAUGCGCCCUUAUAGCCCUUGAGUGCUCUUCAAGCAUUGAAUUUAGUGCUCUUUCUCUUUUCUUUUUGGGAGAAUUAUGUUUUAGAGGUAGAUAAGCCCCCAAAUUAACAAAAUGUUCAUAUAACUCUUCAAAUUGAGUUGAAGGAUAUGAAAUAGUAACGGACAAAUAUACCCUUUAAGAACACAUAAAAUAUUUUAUAAAAUUAAGUUAAAUAAAAAAAUUUUAAUAAUUUUUUUUUCAAAAAUACUAAAUUAAAUAAAAGUGGUUUUCAAAAAUAUUAAAUUAAAUUUUUUUUUCAAAAAUAUUAAAUUAAAUAAUUUUUUUAAAUAUUAAAUUAAAUAAAAGUAUUUUUAAAAAAUAUUAAAUUACAUAAAAGUAUUUUUAAAAAAUAUUAAAUUAAAUCAAAAAUAUUUUUAAAAAAUAUUAAAUUAAAUAAAAGUAUUUUAAAAAAUAUUAAAUUACAUAAAAGUAUUUUUUAAAAAUAUUAAAUUAAAUCAAAAAUAUUUUUUAAAAAUAUUAAAUUAAAUAAAAGUAUUUUUCAAAAAUAUUAAUUUUUUUCUCAAAAUCAACAAAGGACAUUUUUGGAAAUACUGAAGGAUAAUAUCCUUCAACUCAAUUUUCAUACUUUCAUUGAGUCUUGGGAUCAAUUUGAAGAGUUACACGGACCUUUUGUUAAUUUGGGGGCCCAUCUACCCCUAAAACAUAAUUCUCCCUUUCUUUUUUUCUUCUCUCUCUCUAUAUAUAUAUAUAUAUAAUAAAAGGUUAAUUAAUUUUAUUAUAUUUUACAAAUAGAUUUAUACUUUUUCUUGCAUUAUUUUAAAAUAAAAUUAGAGUAAAGAAAAUGAAAAAUAUAUGAACAAAUUUAAUUUUAGUAUUUUUAUUUUUAAAAACGAAUUUUCAUUUUGCUCAACCCAAAGCUGUUUGGAAGUGAUCAUUUUCAAAAGUAUGGGAAACCAAAGGCAGCUAGAGAUUUAGUUAUAGUGUGUAGCAUGUGCAAAGACUUUGAACUCAAACCACCAAGGUGUACAACCUCUCUCUCCCUUAAUUGCAUUCGUUCACGAUCCCUUUAGAUACUUCUUCCCUUUUGGGUCAUGUAAAGUAGUGGCAAGACAAAUCCGAAUUGAUUCCUUACUAUAUAUAUAUACUUCUUCCCUAAUAUCUCGUGAUCACGAUCCCCUUUAGAUACUUCUUCCCUUUGUGGCAAGAAAAAUCCGAAUUGAUUUCUUACCAUAUAUAUAUACAUAUGAUAUGAUGUUCCAUAAUACGGUCAAAUAUAUUUACUUUUAAAGUUUCUUUCUCCACAUUAUUUUUCUUAUAUAGUAGAUUUAAAAUAUUCUUUAUCUACCCAUUUGCCGAUGCAUGUUUGUAAUUGUGGGAGUCAUUAGCAUUAAUUAUUGAAGGCAUGUGUCUAACCUAAAAAGAAGUUAGCAUUAUCGAAGGCCUAGUCUUAUGGAUGUGACUAAAGGAAGGAGAGGCCAUCAUACUCAUCCUAGUGCCAAUUAACUCAAAAUGACUGAGGAUAAUUCUUUGAUGGGGUAAUUUUUGAACAAGAUGAUAUUAUAUGAUAAGAAAAAGGUCUAUGUGAUAUUUGAAUAUAAUUUGAUAUUUACUUUGCUUAAAAAAAAAACUUUAAAAUAUUAAAAUGAGAGUCCAUAAAAAUUGAAGAAUGAUUUUUAUAAUUUAAAAAUAAAUAUAGUAAAUGCGUCACAUCAAAUUAUGGCACGCCACCUAAGAAUAGGAUAAGGAACCUAAAGUACAAAGAUCCGUCAUUUUCAAAUUGUGUGGCGGGUUGAGUGUGGGGAAUAUCAUCCUAAGAGUGAGACUUUUCUCAAUAGUACAGUAAUUUUAAAAAGUUAUGCUUAAAUUAUUAUAGUAGAAGAAGUUAUUAUAAAUAUAUGGUAGUUUUUGCCACCUAAGAGAGAGGAGAGAGAGUGAACCGAUAAAUUUUUUUUAAAACCAAAAUUGUCUUUUCAAAAGACGAUUUUAAAAAAAUUUCAAAAGGUAAAUCGUCUCUUCAAGAGAUGAGUUCCAUGGAAAAAAAUAUAUAUUUUUUUAAAAAAAAAUUCCUUAAGGGAACUCGUCUCUUCAAUAAACGAGUUCCACAAAAAAUAUAUAUAUAAAUUCCCAAAAAAAAAAAACACAAUUCCUCAAUGGAGCUCGUCUCUUCAAGAGAUGAGUUCCAUGAAUAUAUAUUUUUAAAAAAAUUCUCAAAUUAUAAAAAAAAAAAAAAAAAAAAGGAAAAUUCCUCAAGGGAACUCGUCUCUUCAAGAGACGAGUUCCCAUGAAAUUUUUUUUUUUUAAAAAAAAAUAUAUUCCCAAAUUAAAAAAAAAAAAAAUAUUCCUCAAGGGAACUCGCCUUUUUUUUUUUUUUUUUUUUUUUUUAUAAUUUGGGAAUUUUUUUAAAAUAUAUAUAUAUAUAUAUAUUCAUGGAACUCGUCUCUUGAAGAGACGAGUUCCCUUGAGGAAUUUUCUUUUUUAUUUUUUUUUUAUUUCGGGAAUUUUUUUCGUUCCCUUGAGGAAUUGUUUUUUUUUUUUUUAAUAAUUUGGGAAUUUUUUAAUAUAUAUAUAUAUAUAUAUUUUCAUGGAACUCGUCUCUUGAAGAGACAAGUUCCCUUGAGGAAUUUUCUUUUUUUUCUUUUUAUUUUUUUAAUUUGGGAAUUUUUUUUCCAUGGGAACUCGUCUCUUGAAGAGACAAGUUCUCUUGAGGAAUUGUUUUUUUUUUAUAUAUAUAAUUUGGGAAUUUUUUUAUAUAUAUAUUUUCAUAGAACUCGUCUCUUGAAGAGAGGAUUUCCCUUUUGAAAUUUUUUUUAAAUCAUCUUUUGAAAUUUUUUUUAAAUCAUCUUUUGAAAAAACUAUUUGAAAUUUGAAAUGAUGAUUUUGGUUUUAAAAAAAAAUUAUCUACUCACCCUCUCUCCUCUCUCCUAAGUGGUAAAAACUACCGUAUAUUUGUAAUAACUUCUUCUACUAUAAUAAUUUAAGCAUAACUUUUUUAAAUUACCGUAUGAGAAAAGUCUCCUAAGAGUGAAGCCGCGAGCUGAGAGAAGUCCCACUGGCACUAAAAUUAGAGAAGGCUUCAGUUACGUCAUGAACCGAAAGAUUGAAGUGAAGCCAUCUAGAGGAGCCUUGCAAAAAAAAAUAUAUAUGGUGGAGCCGCAUUAGGGCAUGGGGUGAGUACAUAAGUGGAUGCAAGCUUCAUCCGUUGUCCAUUAAGCCUCUUUGGGUUACUGAAUACUGAGAGUAGCUCCAAAUUGCAAUGGCAAAUUCACCUGUAGUGUGGUUAGCAUCGGUGUGCCUUGUGUUCAAUAUCUUGUCCCUUCCAUUCCUAGCAUUGGGCUUAUCUUCUUGUGGUGGCUCAUGUCAAACACUUAAUGACUGUGAAGGUCAGCUCAUUUGCAUCAAUGGUAAAUGUAACGACGAUCCCGAGGUCGGGACUCACAUAUGUGGAGGAAACUCGAGUACCCCUUCCCCUCCAUCCCCCAGUACCUGCCAGCCCUCGGGAACUCUUGCGUGCAAGGGCGGAAAACCCAAAAAUACCUACACAUGCUCUCCUCCGGUCACCUCCUCCACGCCUGCCGUUCUAACUAACAAUAAUUUUGAAAAAGGAGGAGACGGUGGAGGCCCAUCCGCUUGCGACAACAAAUACCAUGACAAUUCAGAGCGCAUCGUAGCAUUGUCAACUGGGUGGUAUAAUGGGGGAUCCCGGUGUGGAAAGAUGAUCAGGAUAACGGCUCAAAAUGGGAGGAGCGUGUUGGCCAAAGUGGUGGAUGAGUGUGACUCCAUGCACGGCUGUGACAAAGAGCAUGCAGGUCAGCCCCCCUGUGAUAAUAACAUAGUUGAUGGAUCUAAUGCUGUGUGGAAUGCUUUGGGGCUGGAUAUCAAUAUUGGUGAAGUGGACGUUACUUGGUCCAUGGCUUAGGUAUAUGGUUGGUUGGUUACUCGGUUUUUGUGUGUACGUACGUACCCUCCUCUUUGUGUUCCCCUCUCUAUUUUGGUUUGUAUGGCUCCGCCAAGCACUAUUUUUAUGUAAUUUUGCAGCAAUAUAUGCAUGCACUGAAAUAAAACUGGAAGGCACUAGCCCAGUGCCACCAGAACCCCAUUAAGUGGUUUGAUUAAUGAAGAGUGAUUUGCGUCACGAUCUACUUGAACCAUCACAUUGAUUAUUAAUGCAACGCCUAAACUACAUCAACUUCCAAUGAGUAUUUUAUAUUAAUUUGACAUUGAGAUUCACCUUAUAUAUAGCAAUACUGAUCUUGGGAAAAUACAUAUUUUAAAAUUAAAAAGUUGUAAAAUCGAAAGAAACUUAAAAAGUAAAAAGAAAGAAAAGAAAAGAACAUAGAAGGUCUUAUCUAAUGGGUGGUACUAGAUCACUUUGAUGAGGUCGCAGUGAAGAAAUUAACAAGAUCCCCAGGAAAGAGAUGCUGUGCAAUAAGAAAUAUCAUCCUGGAACCCAAAUAUAAAAAGCCCCAUGGAGUUAUUGACGGGUACAUCAGUCAUAUAUAUACAUAUAUAAUACUUUGUCUUGAUCUAUACUUUUCAACAGUUUUUCUAUUAUUGUCUAUCCUAAUACAAGAUAAUUUAACUGAUAAAAGCCUAAGUGCCUUAUACCUAAACCAGAUUUCAUAUCUAUUUAUCUAUUAAAUAAUUUAAAAUAAAAUAAAAUAAUUAAAGUUAGAACACAAAUUAACUCUGAGAUAUGGAACUUAAAUGUUGAUUUUGUCACUUACUAGUCCAUAUUCAAAGUUGGGUUGUAGAAACCCAAUCUUGAUUAGUUGAAUUAAAAAUCAAUAAUUAGGGAAGAUAAAAAAAAACCAAUCAACACACAAAAUAAAAUAUUUUUAACAUGGAAAACUUUCAUGCAAUAUGAAGAAAUAAAAAGUCAGAAGUCAUAAACUUCAAAUCUACAUCUAUUAUAUGAGAAUACAAUACACACUUUUAUCUAGCAGAUUGCAUUUGAAUCUCAUCUUAGCGCUUAAAAUGAUGCAAAUCUCCUUCACAAUCCAACAAAGACAAACAUGAACACUUCCUUGAAAGCUUUAAGAAUAAGAAGACAAAUUACAUUUUCCAGCUAGAAAAACUAAGCCAAAAACCUUUUUGAGUAAGGUAUAUGUACGCCCACAGACUUAGUGGACCAAUUCUCAAAAAAUCCUCAUGCAAUUUAAAUCCUUUAAAAUUGGAAAGAGAAAACUUUAGAAUUCUAGAGGAUUCUAUGUCGAGUGCUCAAGCACCCUCAUAUAGGGAUGACAACGGGGUGGGUUCGGGACAGGUCGCCCCCAUCCCAACCCCACCCCGUUUAUUCGAAAUAAUUCUCAUUCCCAUCCCAUUUAAAAAAUUAAACGGGAUGGGACGGGCCGAGGCGAGUAUGAUAAAUUUUCAUACUUGUCCUGUUUAACUUUUUUUUUUUUUUAAUUUUUUUUAAAAAAAUUACUUUUAAAUUUUUAAUUAUAUUAAAAUAAAUAUAUUUUAUAAAUAAUUAAAUUAUUAUAUUUUUUAUAACUUAUUUUAUUAAAAAUAUUUUAUUAUUAUCUAUAUAUUAAAAAUAAUAAAAUAAAAAUUAAAUUAAAUUAAUUUUAAAUUAUAAAUUAAAUUAAAUUUAAAAAUUAAUUUUAUAUAUAAUCGGAGCAGGGCUGGGUGGAGUGGGGCAAUACCCGAACCAGUCCCGAGUUUUUAAAAAAAUUCUCAAACUCAUCACAAACCUAUUUAUUAAAAUUAAACUCCGUCCCAUUAGAGACGGGACGAGGCGGGUACCCGAAUAAACCCGCCCCAUUGCCAUCCCUACCCUCAGAGCAUUUGAGUGCUUCUCAAGCAUUGAAUCCAGGCUUCAAGGUUCAUGUAGUUUUUAAACCCUAAAAAAAAAUUCAUUUUGAUCAAUUUUAAAAACUCGAUGGAUGUCAUGCUACACCAACUACUAAUUUGUCUUUCUAAGACAUUUCUAUACUUACCAAACUCAAUCGAUGCCAUGUUAUACCAAAAUAUGUAUAUAUAAACCAUUUUAACAAGAUUUUAUUGAUUUUAGUUUUUAAAAAUAGUUUUUUAUUAACCAUAUUUUAGUAAAGGGAAAAAGAGAAAUUCUUAUUAGUAAAUGUUUUCUAAAACAAAUGGAACCCAAAACUCUAAAUGUGCUUUAGAAAUUUUUUGGAAAACCAAAACCUGUUUUCUAAAAGGUUGAAAGAAAGAUAAUAAACAAAAUCUUGUGAGAUCCUUCUAUAUGAAUAUCAUAAAUAUAAAUGAAAAUGAAAAUGAAUAAAAUUACACAAUAUAGCAUGACUUAUCUGUAUAUAUUUGAAAUAUAAUAUUCUUUUAUAAGUGUUAUUACAAUUUAAAGUUAUAUCAAGUAUAUAUAUUUUUUCAUAUUAGGUUAAUUCAUUUUAUUAUAUUUUAUAAAUAGAUUUAAACUUUUUCUUGCAUUAUUUUAAAAUAAAAUUAGAGUAAAGGAAAUGUAAAAUAUAUGAACAAAUUUAAUUUUAGUGUUUUUAUUUGAUUAAGAAAUAAACAAGAAAUAAAAUUUUAUACUUUUUAUUUUUAAAAACGAAUUUUCAUUUUGCUCAACCGAAAGCCUUUUCAAAGUGAUCAUUGUCAAGAGUAUGGGCAACCAAAGGCAGCUAGAGGUUUAGUUGUAGUGUGUAGCAUGUGCAAAGACUUUGAAUUCAAGCCAUAAACGUGCACUACCUCUCUCUCCCUUAGUUGCAUUUGUCAUGUUCUCUUGUGAUGAUCUCCUUUAGAUGCUUAGACCCUUUGGGUCACGUGAACUAGUGGCAAGAAAAAUGAAUUGAUUUCAUGAUGGAGAGUGUAGGGACCCCUCCCCUUGGGAAACACGUGGCACGCGGCUCAUGGUGACGCGUGGCACGUGCUGUCAGCCGGACCAUCAUCAUCCGGAUUCCCCUACAGAUACGUAUGGUGCGACUAUCCUAUCCGGAACCCCCCAAGGAAAGACAAACAACGUUUCAGCUUCUCCUAUCCAAGGAAGAGCAAACGACGCUGGCAGAACGUAGACACCCGGAUAGUCUCCACAAACACAUCCGGAUAUUCAGCAUGAUCCAUCCGGAUAUAAAUCGUCUGGAUGGUCAAUUAAAGUAAAGCGAGUCUUACACGCAAUCACAACAAGCAGCCAUGGCCCACAUCCCAUCACCUGCAGAAUGAGAAGACAAGAGGAAGUGACAGCAAGUCACUUCCCACGAUCAUUCUGCAUAAUCGCUUCCCACGAUCUCUGACAGCCGCAUCACCUACCAUGGUCUCUGACAGCCAUUCGUAGGAUGAUAGUGCUCCUACUAACACCUAUUGUCAUCAUCACAACAGAAAAUAUCUCCCCACCAUUAAUGAGAGGAACAGUACCCCUGAAGCUGUAUAUAUAUGACUUCACACGAAGAAGAAAGGGAUGAUCUCCCGGUAACCUCUUGACACCUAGUAAAAGGCCAACUGCCUCAUAUAUCUUAUUCUCUUAUCAUGGCUAACAACAUCAUCGGAGGGUGCAUCCGGACACCUUGUCCGGAUGCCUUUUUACAGGUACAACCACUGAAUCAAGAACCCCUUGUGUGUUGAGAAUCGCGUGUCCAUCCAUCUAGCAGCAACGCGGCCCACCUGAUACGCGAGGUGACAACAUUGGCGCCGUCUGUGGGAACCUUUUACUUUUUAUUUUGAUUCAGUCACUAGCAAAGAUGGCCACACCUUCCCAAAGUCGAUCAUCUGGUAGAGAGGAAGAAGAUAAUCACGAAUGGCGUCAAGCCAUCGAAAAAAGACAGUUGGCGAGCGAAAAACAGCUAAGAGCUCUCCUCCAGGAGACGGAGAGGUUAAGGGAAGAAAACGCUGUGUUACGCAUUCAAGCCUCAACAUCAAGACCUCCUCGUCGUCAGCGCUCAAAAGGUCAAGUGGCGAACUCAAGGCCAGAGCCAGAAUCAAUAUAUCCUGGGUCAACAGGAGCUGUCCCAGGAACAUACAACGCAAGGCCCCAUGAGCCACGCACACCCAUGCCUCGAGCUCCCCGUGAGGAAAGCUCAGAUUCCACUCAUUUCUCAGCAAAAAGACAACGUGAUAGAAAAUCACAGUUGUCAAGUUCUAUGCGCGCAAGACUAGACCCACAGGAGCCUGGGAGAUCAAGGCCACCAGUAGCCACAACUCGGGCGCCACGCCCCGAUCCUAUGAUUGCUCCCAUGGUGCAGAACGUACCUCCGCAUCGUGACCCCAUGGUCACCCCAGCGAUGCGGAACGUUCACUCACACCUAGCGGAACGAUCACUCACACCUAGCGGAACGACCAGCUGGGAGAAACCUCCCAAACGAGCCACCCAUUGGCUCCAUCAGCAAAAGGCUGGAUGACAUGCUCUCCACGCCCUUUUGCUCUCAUAUCACCCAUUACGAGCCCCCAAGAGGAUUUCUCGUACCAAAGUUUUCCACAUACGAUGGGACCAACGAUCCCUUCGAUCACAUCAUGCACUAUCGACAGCUUAUGACGCUCGAUAUUGGCAACGAUGCAUUAUUAUGCAAAGUAUUCCUUGCCAGCCUUCAAGGGCAGGCCCUUUCAUGGUUUCAUCGCCUACCUCCUAACUCUGUUGACAAUUUUAGGGACCUCUCUGAAGCAUUCGUGGGACAGUACUUAUGCUCUGCUCGACACAAGCAGAAUAUCAGCACCCUCCAGAACAUAAAAAUGAAAGACAACGAAUCCUUGAGGGAAUUUGUGAAACGAUUUGGCCAAGCCGUACUCCAAAUAGAGGUUUGCAGCAUGGACGCUGUCCUACAGAUCUUCAAAAGAAGCAUCUGUCCAGGCACCCCAUUUUUCGAAUCGCUGGCAAAAAAACCUCCUACAACGAUGGACGAUUUGUUCAGACGCGCUAACAAAUAUUCAAUGCUCGAAGAUGACGUACGUGCAGCCACUCAGCAAGUUUUGGUUGCCGGACGGGCUUCUAGAGAUAACGUGGACAGACAUGCCAAACCUCCGGACCGGCCAAAACCAAUUGACCGGAGGCAGGACGGGCCGAGUCGUCCGGAUAGGCCGUCCAUCACACCCCUAUCCAUAUCAUACGAAAAACUUCUCCCAAUGAUCCAAGGGUUGUCCGACUUCAGGUGGCCUAGACCCCUCGAAACGGACCCAUCUAUAAGAGACCGCAGCAAGAAAUGCGCCUUCCACAAAGACCAUGGUCAUACAACAAAGACAUGUCGGUCCCUCCAGUAUCUAGUUGAGAGGCUCAUCAAAGCAAGACAUUUAAAACAGUACCUCCCCUCAGAUACUGGAGGAAGGGACGCAUCACAGCAUCAUAACUCUGGGGCCCCGAGGGCCCCAGUCGCCCCCAAGGCUGUCAUAAACUAUAUCAACGGGGGCCCAUCUGACGAGGAAUACGAUUCCAGGCGGAAAAGACAGAAAUUGCUGCGAGCCGCGUCAAUACGCGAACGCAUUAAUUCCAUCCGGCCGGGUCUUACUGGGGAGGGCCCUCGCCCCAUUGAUGGGACAAUCAUUUUCCCACCAGUAGAUCCCACCCGAACGCUACAGCCACAUCGCGACGCCCUCAUCCUCUCUCUAGAAAUAGGAGAUUUUGAUGUAAGACGUAUCUUGGUUGAUCCAGGCAGUUCAGCCGAUCUAGUACAAGCAUCAGUCAUUGGCCAUAUGGGACAUAGUCCCGCGGGUCUCGAAAACCCCGGACGAAUCUUAUCCGGAUUCAACGGAUCAUCAACAACAUCCUUAGGAGACAUUAUACUGCCGAUUCGAGCUGGACCAGUCACUCUCAACGUGCAAUUCUCGGUGGUACAAGAGUUGUCACCCUUCAAUGUCAUCUUGGGACGCACAUGGCUUCACUACAUGAAAGCCAUCCCUUCCACAUAUCAUCAAAUGGUGAGUUUCCUCACCAACGAAGGGCAAACUGACUUGUAUGGCAGCCAGUUAGCCGCUCGCCAGUGCUACCAAAUAGCACGUGAAGCAGUCGCUAACCAGGAGGAUGCAUCUCCCCCUGAACCUAGCAUUGCGCACGACCAAUAGCAAUUAUUGGGUCCGGUGGACAAGGAUCCCCCGGUAGCAGAUCCCUUACAAACAAUCCAAAUCUCAGAAGAGAAUGAUCACCUCACAAACGUCAGUUCCCUCAUGACACAAGAAGAAACCCAGAGCAUACAAAAUAUCCUUCGAAGCAACCAUGACAUCUUCGCAUGGACACAUUCGGAUAUGAAGGGAAUUCAUCCCUCUAUCGCCUCUCACAAGCUUAACGUCCUUCCAGCAGCCAGACCCAUUCGACAGAAGAUUAGACGCUUUCACCCGGAUAGACAAAGAGUUAUCCAAGAUGAAAUUAACAAAUUGUUGGAAGCAGGAUUCAUCAGAGAGGUAUCUUAUCCGGAUUGGUUGGCAAAUGUAGUAGUGGUACCAAAGAAAGAGGGCAAAUGGCGAGUCUGUGUUGAUUACACCAAUCUCAAUAAUGCAUGCCCAAAAGACAGUUUUCCCUUACCACGGAUAGAUCAAAUUGUGGAUUCCACUUCCGGGCAAGGGAUGCUCUCUUUCUUGGAUGCCUUCUCCGGAUAUCACCAAAUUCCCAUGUCUCCGGAUGACGAAGAAAAAACAGCAUUCAUAACGCCACACGGCCUCUAUUGCUACAAAGUCAUGCCAUUCGGACUCAAAAACGCUGGCGCCACGUAUCAAAGAUUGAUGACUAAAAUCUUCAAACCUCUGAUAGGCCGCUCGGUCGAGGUAUACAUUGACGAUAUCGUGGUUAAAAGCAAAACUCGAGAGCAGCAUAUCCUCCAUCUACAAGAAGUAUUUUACCUCUUGCGAAAGUACGACAUGAAGCUAAAUCCUUCCAAAUGUGCCUUUGGCGUGAGUGCUGGCAAGUUUCUGGGAUUUAUGGUCAGCCAAAGAGGCAUAGAAGUCAGCCCGGAUCAAGUCAAAGCAGUCAUGGAGACACCUCCCCCCAGGAACAAAAAGGAGUUACAACGCCUCACAGGCAAGCUCGUUGCGUUAGGACGUUUUAUAGCCCGCUUCACUGAUGAGUUGCGACCCUUCUUCUUAGCGAUACGAAAAGCUGGAACCCAGGGAUGGACGGACAAUUGCCAAAACGCGUUGGAAAGAAUUAAACAUUGUCUUAUGCAUCCACCCAUCUUGAGCAGCCCCAUCCCAAAGGAAAAGCUAUAUAUGUAUUUAGCUGUCUCAGAAUGGGCAAUCAGCACCGCUCUAUUCCGCUGCCCUUCACCAAAGGAGCAGAAACCUGUCUACUAUGUCAGCAGGGCAUUGGCAGAUGUAGAAACCAGGUAUUCAAAAAUGGAGCUAACAGCCUUAGCUCUUCGAAGUGCUGCCCAAAAGCUCCGCCCCUAUUUUCAAGCCCACCCAGUGAUUGUACUGACCGAUCAACCCCUUCGCAGCAUUCUACACAAACCAGAUUUAACUGGGCGAAUGCUACAAUGGGCCAUCGAAUUGAGCGAAUUUGGAAUCGAAUUCCAACCCAGAUUAUCCAAAAAAGGCCAAGUAAUGGCCGACUUUGUGCUCGAAUAUUCACGAAGACCCAACCAGCACCACGAAUCAAGUGAACAGGAGUGGUGGACACUACGAGUUGACGGAGCCUCGCGCUCAUCAGGCUCUGGAGUUGGGCUCGUAUUACAGUCCCCAACUAGGGAACAUCUGGAGCAAACCAUCCGGUUGGGAUUCUCCGCGUCUAACAAUGAGGCAGAAUACGAGGCCAUCCUGUCCGGAUUGGACCUCGCCCUUGCUCUAUCUGUCUCCAAACUCCGGAUCUACAGCGACUCGCAACUAGUGGUAAGGCACAUCCAGAAAGAAUAUGAGGCUAAGGACUCACGCAUGGCGCGAUACUUGGCCAAAGUAAGAAGCACCUUACAGCAAUUCACCGAGUGGACAAUCGAAAAAAUUAAGCGAGCUGACAAUAGGCACGCUGACGCUUUGGCCGGCAUAGCUGCCUCUCUACCUAUCAAAGAAGCCAUUCUAUUGCCCAUAUAUGUGCAAGCCAAUCCCUCUGUCGCAGAAAAUUCCACUUGCAACACCAUUGAGGCAACCCAAACGGAUAAUCAAGAAUGGACGCAGGAUAUUGCAGAAUAUAUCCGGACAGGCACUUUACCCAAAGAUCUUAAACAAGCACACAAAAUCCGGGUGCAGGCUGCCCGCUUCACCCUGAUCGGGGGANNNNNNNNNNNNNNNNNNNNNNNNNNNNNNNNNNNNNNNNNNNNNNNNNNNNNNNNNNNNNNNNNNNNNNNNNNNNNNNNNNNNNNNNNNNNNNNNNNNNNNNNNNNNNNNNNNNNNNNNNNNNNNNNNNNNNNNNNNNNNNNNNNNNNNNNNNNNNNNNNNNNNNNNNNNNNNNNNNNNNNNNNNNNNNNNNNNNNNNNNNNNNNNNNNNNNNNNNNNNNNNNNNNNNNNNNNNNNNNNNNNNNNNNNNNNNNNNNNNNNNNNNNNNNNNNNNNNNNNNNNNNNNNNNNNNNNNNNNNNNNNNNNNNNNNNNNNNNNNNNNNNNNNNNNNNNNNNNNNNNNNNNNNNNNNNNNNNNNNNNNNNNNNNNNNNNNNNNNNNNNNNNNNGAGUCCGGACUGUAGAUCGCGCGUCAAACGCGGCUUCUUGAGGGGAGGCCCUUUCACCAGGACUAUAGCCAGGCGAUCCGGGUCGUCGGAAGGCUGACUUUGGCUUUCUGCUCCCGCUUCCUCCAACGGGGCCGUUUCAGCUGCAUCAGCAUCCGGAUUAAGGUUGCCCGGACGGUUGAUAGAUGCAGCUUCCUCAGCCACGUUAGCCAGACGCGCAGCCGCGACCAAGGAAGGACCUGAGUGAUUCAACCCCGACAUGCGUCCGGGGCCGCUUGAGAUAGAGUGCGGAGCAGCAUUUACUGGCUCCUCUAUCAUUACUUCCCCCUCAUAGGUAGUUUGGGGAGGAGGAAACUGCUUGGGAGGAGUGGGUUCCUUCAUGUCCUUCCCAUGCUUCUUCACCAGCUUCCCCCUUUUUCCUGAAGUUUUCUUUGGAGGAGAGUCCGGACCCCGCUUCUGUCCGGGAGCCUUCCGGAUAGUGCCUUCAGUUUUUUUCUGAUCUCUAUCCUCCAGGAGCUUUCGCCGCCUUUCAGCGUCAGCCUCUUUGGCUUCCUGACAGAGGGGGAGCUCCUUCACAGUAUAAUGCUCCCCAGGCACUAUCUCAUCCUUUGCCAAUUUCCUAGGAAGAAUAUUGAUAACAUAUUCCUGGGGCUCCCGGACGACCUCCGUCAAAUUCCGCGCGGAAAGCAAUGUUUUGUAGGCCCUCUCCUUGGGGUCUAUUUCAAAUAAUUUGCAGACGCAGGCAAAGGACGCCUUUUCCACCCAAUCCACAAGGUGGCCCCUCAAUUCCAAACCUGCAUUGUCAGCAACAAAGGGUGAGAAUUCUGUCCGGAAAAAUCAGAAAAAAUCAGCAAAGCAAAAUCCGAAUAAAAAAUCGCAAAACAAGAUUACCCGGGAUUUGUAAGGUAUAAUUCGGAGAAAAAGGCCUCGACGGAUGCUGCGAUAGCCCCGCCCAUCCACCCCAGACUGCCACCAGCCCCUUCGCCCCUCCCUUUGUCGAAUCUGGCAGUUCUGUCACCAUUUGAAGGGAGGGCAGGUGAGCGGACACACUGAAGAUAUCAUUCUUUGCUUUCUUCAGGGAAUAGACAAAGAACAAUUCCAGUAGCGUAAGGUCGAGGCUGUACAGCAUGUUGAUAAUGCUGCAUCCCAUCAGCACCCGGACAAGGUUGGGAUGAAUGAAGAUGGGUGGAAUCUGAGAGAAGUGGAGGAAUUCCUUGAACAAGGCUGGCAGAGGGAACCGGAGCCCCGCGUUGAAUUGUUCCUUUGUGAAGAGGAUAGCGUUUUUUCCACCUUUCUCAGUAGGAAUAGCCGCCUCCUCGUUCACCAGGUCUAUCAAUACGUCAUGGGGGAUGCGGAAUCGCUCCCGGAACUCCUUCGCAUUUANNNNNNNNNNNNNNNNNNNNNNNNNNNNNNNNNNNNNNNNNNNNNNNNNNNNNNNNNNNNNNNNNNNNNNNNNNNNNNNNNNNNNNNNNNNNNNNNNNNNAAUCUGGCAGUUCUGUCACCAUUUGAAGGGAGGGCAGGUGAGCGGACACACUGAAGAUAUCAUUCUUUGCUUUCUUCAGGGAAUAGACAAAGAACAAUUCCAGUAGCGUAAGGUCGAGGCUGUACAGCAUGUUGAUAAUGCUGCAUCCCAUCAGCACCCGGACAAGGUUGGGAUGAAUGAAGAUGGGUGGAAUCUGAGAGAAGUGGAGGAAUUCCUUGAACAAGGCUGGCAGAGGGAACCGGAGCCCCGCGUUGAAUUGUUCCUUUGUGAAGAGGAUAGCGUUUUUUCCACCUUUCUCAGUAGGAAUAGCCGCCUCCUCGUUCACCAGGUCUAUCAAUACGUCAUGGGGGAUGCGGAAUCGCUCCCGGAACUCCUUCGCAUUUAGUUUAUCUAUCGCCUUUUCGCCAGCCUCGCUGACCCGGACAGACGAAACAGUCUUUUUUGGAGUCAUUUCUUACCACAAAGCCAAAGCAAAAUCUACACGCAAAAACAAUGCAAACGGUCCAGACCAAGCAAUCAGAAAAUACACAAACUCAAAGCAGUCAGAAAAACCCCUCAAAAACCCCUCCAAACAAACAACAAAGUACCAACAUUAAACAAACAAUUGCAAGCGACUUGUUCAAAACAAAGCCAGGAACCAAGUUUAAAGAACCGGCAAACGCAACCAAAGGAAUGACAAUAGCAAAGAGGUACGUACCAAAUAGAGCUCUGGAGAAGAAAAACGGUUACUCUCUCGGUAUAAAAUCACCGGCAACAAACAAACGAGGUCGUUCGAAGUUUUUCUCAGAAAAGCAAAGGACGCAGAAAAAGUAAGAAGAAGGAAGGCUCUCAAGAGAAUGCAGUAGAAAAAAUACAAAAAGAGGUACAGUGCCCUAUUUAUAGCAGGACAGCCCCUCGGAAAGCCAAACCAACAGCCGUGUUAUCAUUGAAACGACAUAUUGCCUGGGGAUACACAGGGUCGGCGGCUCGCCAUAAAUGCCUUUUUUGGCUUUCGCACCCCCACUCGCCACGUGGCUAAGUUAGACGAAUGGACUUUUUCAAUUUUCAAAAACCCAGUUAUUUUUAACCCGCCCAUUUUUUGGCAAAAUAAGCAAGUUAAAAAGGGGGGCAAUGUAGGGACCCCUCCCCUUGGGAAACACGUGGCACGCGGCUCAUGGUGACGCGUGGCACGUGCUGUCAGCCGGACCAUCAUCAUCCGGAUUCCCCUACAGAUACGUAUGGUGCGACUAUCCUAUCCGGAACCCCCCAAGGAAAGACAAACAACGUUUCAGCUUCUCCUAUCCAAGGAAGAGCAAACGACGCUGGCAGAACGUAGACACCCGGAUAGUCUCCACAAACACAUCCGGAUAUUCAGCAUGAUCCAUCCGGAUAUAAAUCGUCUGGAUGGUCAAUUAAAGUAAAGCGAGUCUUACACGCAAUCACAACAAACAGCCAUGGCCCACAUCCCAUCACCUGCAGAAUGAGAAGACAAGAGGAAGUGACAGCAAGUCACUUCCCACGAUCAUUCUGCAUAAUCGCUUCCCACGAUCUCUGACAGCCGCAUCACCUACCAUGGUCUCUGACAGCCAUUCGUAGGAUGAUAGUGCUCCUACUAACACCUAUUGUCAUCAUCACAACAGAAAAUAUCUCCCCACCAUUAAUGAGAGGAACAGUACCCCUGAAGCUGUAUAUAUAUGACUUCACACGAAGAAGAAAGGGAUGAUCUCCCGGUAACCUCUUGACACCUAGUAAAAGGCCAACUGCCUCAUAUAUCUUAUUCUCUUACCAUGGCUAACAACAUCAUCGGAGGGUGCAUCCGGACACCCUGUCCGGAUGCCUUUUUGCAGGUACAACCACUGAAUCAAGAACCCCUUGUGUGUUGAGAAUCGCGUGUCCAUCCAUCUAGCAGCAACGCGGCCCACCUGAUACGCGAGGUGACAACAGAGAGGUCAUCAUGCUCAUCCUAGUGCCAAUUAACUCAAAACAACUAAGGAUAAUUCUAUGAUGGGGUAAUUAUCGAACAAGGUGAUAUUACAUGAUAAGAAAAAGGUUUAUUUGAUAUCUCAAUAUAAUUUGAUAUUUAGGUUGCUUAAAAAGAUUAAAAUGAGAUUGAAGAAUGAUCCGUCAUUUUCGAAUUGUGUGGCGGGUCGAGUGUGGGGAACAUCAUCCUAAGAGUAAAGCCACGCCAGAGAGAAGUCCCACUGGCACUGAAAUCAAGGCAACUAGAAGAAAAGGCUUCAGUUACGUCGUCAACCGAAAGAGUUGAAGUGAAGCCAUCCAGAUGAGGCAUUAACUGCAAAGAAAAAACAAAACAUGUGGCUGCUUAAUUUCUUGAUAUGGUGGAGCCGCAUGAGGGCAUGAGUUGAGUAUAUAAGUGGAUGCAAGCUUCAUUCCUUGACCAUUAAGCCUCUUUGGGUUACUGAAUACUGAGAGUAGAACCAAAUUGCAAUGGCAAAUUCACCUGUAGUGUGGUUAGCAUCCGUGUGGCUUGUGUCCAAUAUAUUGUCCCUUCCAUUCCUGGAAUUGGGUAUAUCUUCUUGUGGUGGCUCAUGUCAAACACUUAAUGACUGUGAAGGUCAGCUCAUGCAUCGAUGGUAAAUGUAACGACGAUCCCGAGGUCGGGACUCACAUAAAUGGAGGAAGUUCAAUUACCCCUCCACCUCCACCUCCCGGUACCUGCCAGCCCUCCGGAACUCUUGCGUGCAAUGGUGGAAAACCCAAAAAUACCUACACAUGCUCUCCUCCGGUCACCUCCUCCACGCCUGCCGUUCUAACUAACAAUAAUUUUGAAAAAGGAGGGGACGGUGGAGGCCCAUCCACUUGCGACAACAAAUACCAUGACAAUUCAGAGCGCAUCGUAGCAUUGUCAACUGGGUGGUAUAAUGGGGGAUCCCAGUGUGGAAAGAUGAUUAGGAUAACGACUCAAAAUGGGAGGAGCGUGUCACAGUGGUGGAUGAGUGUGAC
rnacentral:lncRNA from 1 species